GAUCCUGAGAGCACAUCGGGUAAACAGCCUGGUGAGCGGCUCCGGCCAGCCGAGGCUGAACGCACGGACGAUGAACCGUCAAUAGAGCGAGAGGAUACAUCAACACCCAACGUGUCGGAUACCAGACAACAACCGGUGACCAAUCAGGAUGAACAGGACAAAAUUACAAAUGCCGAAGAGAGCAAUCUACCGCUGGCGGAUAAAUGAUGAUUACCGGCUGAGCGGCACUUAGCAACGGAGUGGAUAUACGCAAUAGAUAUGGCACAGUUUUUUGACUAUGCU
rnacentral:misc_RNA from 1 species